rnacentral:rRNA from 1 species
CGCCUCUUGACAAACAUAAGAGGUCCAGCCUGCCCAGUGACAAAGUUCAACGGCCGCGGUACCCUAACCGUGCGAAGGUAGCAUAAUCACUUGUUCUUUAAAUGAGGACUUGUAUCAACGGCACCACGAGGGCUAUACUGUCUCCUUUUUCUAAUCAGUGAAACUGAUCUCCCCGUGAAGAAGCGGGGAUUAAGAUAUAAGACGAGAAGACCCCAUGGAGCUUUAAACUCACCAUGCACCUCUGUGCUCCCAUACCCCUAGACACAACAGACCUGCAUGUUAGUUUUAGGUUGGGGUGACCACGGAGUAUAAUUCAACCUCCAUAGCAAAUGGGCUAAAACCCUUAUCCACGAGACACACCUCUAAGAAUUAUUAAACUAAUGCUUACGACCCGAUAUUCGAUCAAUGAACCAAGUUACCCUGGGGAUAACAGCGCAAUCUACUUCAAGAGCCCAUAUCGACAAGUAGGUUUACGACCUCGAUGUUGGAUCAGGGUAUCCCGGUGGUGCAGCCGCUACCAAUGGUUCGUUUGUUCAACGAUCAAAACCC